UCCCUCGAGGCGCAACAGGCUGCGCACCCGACUGUUAAUCGGGAGGUACCAGGUUCGAGUCCUGGCGGGGGAGC
rnacentral:tRNA from 1 species